rnacentral:rRNA from 1 species
UGUAAGCGUAUACCAAAGUUGUUGCAGUUAGAACGCUCGUAGUCGGAAUUUGGCAGUUCCGGAUGUGUGCACGUCGUGUGCGCACUUCGCGGGGAUUGCUUUUGUGGUCUUGCGUAGGAUGAGGCACUUUUAUUAGUGAACGUCCUCACGCAACCACUUUUUACUGUGAGAAAAUCAGAGUGCUCAAAGCAGGCAUUUGCCGUGAAUGUAUUAGCAUGGAAUAAUAGAAUAGGACUUGGUUCUAUUUUGUUGGUUUGUUGGGACUGAGUAAUGAUUAAGAGGGACAGUUGGGGGCAUUUGUAUUUCGGUGCUAGAGGUGAAAUUCUUAGAUUACCGAAAGACAAACUGCUGCGAAAGCGUCUGCCAAGGAUGUUUUCAUUGA